UUUUGACUUUUGGCUUUACUUUUCUUCUCAUUUGAUGGUUCCUUUUCAGUGAUGCUUCCAUUUAUCAUCUCGUACUUCAUUGAUGGUAGGCCAGAGCUUCCUAUAAUGGUUGUUUCUUCCUUGAACUCUUCGUCUCCAAACUCGUAUCCGGUUUCUUCCAGAAUUUUUGUGACGAUAUUUUCGUAUGGAAUGUAUGCUUAUUCU
rnacentral:lncRNA from 1 species